AUGCUGUGCUUCCCCCGCUGCAGCCCUUUCCCCUUCCAGAUGCUCUGGGAGAGAGGCUGCCAUCCUUGUUUUGAUUUUGCAGCCCUACACCCCGAUGUUAUUUGGCCACAGCUGCGAUGCGAGCUCAGCUCCUCCAGGACACAGCUCAGUGCUCUGCCUCCUCCCGGAGCUGAUCUGCCUUCAGCAGGUGGCCCUGACAGAUUGAGGUUUGCAGCCUUCGUGGUGGGAAAUGCAGCUCCAAAAUCCUGGAAACGUGUGAAGGUUGCAAUCCGAUUCCGGCUGCUUUCCCUGCUCCCCUCCUCUCCAUCCAAAAGCACAGCUGAUGCCAAAGGGAUCUGGAGCUCCAUAGCAGAAAGCGAAGCCAGAUGGCUGCGAUCUCACCGAGCUCGCAUUGCUCGGGAUCGUGGAUACCCUGGGGACCCCUGUGUGUGGUGUGGGGCUCAGUGUGCACCCAGCACGUGGCUGCAAGGAUGCUGGGGCUGUGGCUCGUGGCCUGCAGGGCUCAUGGCCCCCAGGGCUCCCAGCCCCCCCUGGCUAUGAGCAGUUGAAUGGGGUCAGCUCUUGUGACCUUCUCACCAAGCCAAAU
rnacentral:lncRNA from 1 species